rnacentral:rRNA from 1 species
UGCCAGCCGCCGCGGUAAUACGGAGGGUGCGAGCGUUAAUCGGAAUUACUGGGCGUAAAGCGCGGGUAGGCGGCUUGCUAAGUCAGCUGUGAAAGCCCCGGGCUUAACCUGGGAACUGCAGUUGAUACUGGCAGGCUGGAGUACGAGAGAGGAAGGUAGAAUUCCAUGUGUAGCGGUGAAAUGCGUAGAUAUAUGGAGGAAUACCAGUGGCGAAGGCGGCCUCCUGGCUCGAUACUGACGCUGAGGUGCGAAAGCGUGGGUAGCAAACAGGAUUAGAUA